rnacentral:lncRNA from 1 species
UUGUCCCGUCUCUUCAUCGGCUUCCUCACCCCCAUAUUCUCCUCCAUCUGAUACACCAAGCCACCGCCUUAGGAAAGUACAAAGGACAUAGCCGCCGCCUUGGGUAAGUAGGAGGUGUCAACAGCCUUGGAAAUCAAGUUUCAGAUUGAUGAUUCCCCAAAGCUAUCAAGCUAGAGCUGGAACCCUAGAAUCAAGAGCUGGAACUCUAGAAAUUGGGAGGUGGCAAGUCUAGUAUCUAUAUGGUUUCUUGAGUUGCUAGAUACAUAGAAAAACAAGGGAGAGAGAGAAAGAAAGGGAGUUUUGGUAUCUUAGAAGUGGAGAAGUAAAAAGUCAGGAACUUGUUUUCAUCCGGAUACUUAACGUGAAAAUCA